rnacentral:rRNA from 1 species
GACGAACCCUGGCGGCGUGCCUAACACAUGCAAGUCGAACGGAACUGUUUUGAAAGAUUUCUUCGGAAUGAAUUUGAUUUAGUUUAGUGGCGGACGGGUGAGUAACGCGUGAGUAACCUGCCUUCAAGAGGGGGAUAACAUUCUGAAAAGAAUGCUAAUACCGCAUGAUAUAUCGGAACCACAUGGUUUUGAUAUCAAAGAUUUUAUCGCUUGAAGAUGGACUCGCGUCCGAUUAGUUAGUUGGUGAGGUAACGGCUCACCAAGACCGCGAUCGGUAGCCGGACUGAGAGGUUGAACGGCCACAUUGGGACUGAGACACGGCCCAGACUCCUACGGGAGGCAGCAGUGGGGGAUAUUGCGCAAUGGGGGCAACCCUGACGCAGCAACGCCGCGUGAAGGAUGAAGGUUUUCGGAUUGUAAACUUCUUUUAUUAAGGACGAAA